CCACUCACUGCUCUCCUCCCUCCUGCCGCAGCUUGCCGUGCGUGAAGAGACAUAAAGCUGAGCGAGCGUGCAGUGGCGUCCGAGAUAAAACGGCAUUCACAUCCCUGGGAGACUUCACGGAAAUGCAGCUUCUGAGCGAUUACAGGUUUCUAGAGGACGCUGGACGAUUGGUGGGCUGCACACUCCGAGACCAGCUCGUCCACUUACCCACCACCAACAAAACCAUGAACUUCCUGAAGAACCGAGCUCGGAGGAAGGACAUCAUCUGAAACUCCUGCCAUCGGAUUCGCCAAGAGGGUGGAGAAUUCAACGAUUUACCUCAGAAGGGAGCAGCUGUUUUAUUGGCACGUGAAGCUGGUGUUCCCGCAGAGCUCCACCACGUACACAGAGAAGAGGGUUGCUGAGAACAAGACGCUGGAGCAGAUCCUGAGCCCGUACAUCCAUCCACAGGAGUCUGACCCAGUCAUCAGACAGAGGCUGAAGGUUUAUGUCCUGGCCCCCCCCGGGCAGGUGUCCGUGCUGCUGCAGGUGGAGGGGGGGGAGAGCAGCUCCCCAAGGUACCACAGGUUGGAUGUGAGUGGCAGUCUGGCAGAGAACCUGAGACACAAGACAGUCAUUGAAUACCCCACGUUAUUGAUGGUGUUGAAGGCUCGUUCUUCUGAGUACCGGCUACUCCGUGAAUGUGACUCAAGUGAGGAUGGCGAGAGUGAAACAGGGUCUUCAUCGAAGAACAAGAUGGAGGAGGAGAAGGAGGUCAGGGACCUCGUGACCACCUCCCCACACUGACCAUCACUCUGAUACUCAGCCUGGAUCAGACUCA